AUCCAGUUGAUGAGUCCCAAAUAGGACGAAAUGCGUAUCCUAAUGAAU
rnacentral:hammerhead_ribozyme from 1 species